CUGCAAUUUGGGCUGGAGGUGAAGUGCUACAACAGAAAUUUAAUUUUAGUGAGAUGGCACUAUGCUUGGUGCUUGUCUGGGAAAGGAACCCAAGUGCUCCUGCCUGGUGCUGGAAUCACAGCUGCAGAUCAACAGCUGCUUCCUAAGGAAAUUCAGCCCUAAGCUGGAAAGAGUUCACAGAGCAAAGCUUGACCAUCCUGAGAGCUGUCAUCUCCGAUGGGGCCACAGUUUGCAGCAGCAGGCUGAAGGGCAGCAGCAGCAAUGGGGCAGCAAAGCAGCCUUCUGUCCAUCCCGGAGGGAUCUGCAUGCUCCUGCAUCCUGUAAGAGUCACUGCCAUCAGCACCACGUGGCCACGAGGUCUGUCGCUCCUCCCAGAAGUUUCUGUGAGUUUUGCUGUGAAAUCCCCACUCUCCAUCCAAACCAAAGCAGGCUUUGGUGGAUGGGAGCUGUCUGAACACGGGAUUCUGCUCACCAACCCUGACUCAGCUGCUCGCACUCAAAAUUCAGCAAUAACCCCUGACAGCUACAGCUAAAACGAUCCUGGCCUUUCAGGUAACCUUCUCACUUGUAAAUUAACCAGAGUUUUCAACACAAGCACCAGAAAGUUUAAUGCUCAAGCUGACUGAAGAAAAACGAAAAGGAAAAAAAAAAAAAAAAAAGCACGUUAUUUUAAUUAGAGAGAGUAAAAGACAGAUAAUAAGUCUGAUGAAUUGUGGCUGUCUCUCUUCCAGUGCCAUUGCAUCUGGGGACACUGGAAAGUAGCUCCUAAUGGCACUGCUUUAUCUAAGAGGAUGAUGGAUAGUAGUGAAAGAGGGGGAAAAAAGGGGAAAAGUAAGACAUUAGCACAUCAAUGGUGUGCCUGUGACCUCUAUCAAGGGAUGUGAACCAACUUAAUGAAAUUUUAAUUAGGCAGCAAGCGGUGCACUGUUGCUGGGUACUGAAUCAGACCUUCUCACUCUCACUCAGUCAUUAUCUUUCCUUGGGAUAAGCUCUUUUCCAGCACUGGCAGCAAAGCCAAGCUCUUUUUCUGGGGCCAGGAACGCCCUGCAGGUCUCCCAGCUCUCCCAUCUGCUUCUCCAUACGAAUUUGUGGGAGAGGAGCCCAAAGGCAGAGGCACUGCAGCCUCAAGGGCAAUGGAGGGAAUGCCAUGCCAUCGGUGUCCUGCCAUGUCACUGCUAUCCUGUACCUGACUCUGCUCUGUGUCUCACAAAGGCCAGGAGCAAUGUUUGGCCCAAACACACCCAGUGUGCCCGGGUGAAGCCCUUCCCUAAGUGUGAGGCCCUGGGCCCCCUGGGUUUGUUUGUCCCAAGGGCUGUAGGCAGGUGAACCAAGAUGAGCUGCUCAUCAUUGUCAUGAGAAGCCAUUUCUCAGCUGAGGAUAACCUAAGAGCACAUGAGGAAUCCAGUGCCUGAGCUGAACGAGAAAGUAAAGGCACGUUCAGCCUUUCAGCAUCUUCUAAUAGAAGGGAAAGCAGUUGUUCUGUGCAUUUUCAAUGGGCUUCCCUGAAUCUUUUGAACCCUGCUAUGGAUGAAAACCCAGGAAAUACCCACCCUGAGGACUCACUGGGCUGUGCAAAGCCUUCACCUCAUCCUAAGUGGGUUAUUUUGUACAGUGUUCCAGCAGGGCACUCGCUGGCUUCAUAAACAAAUGGUCAGUGUGUUUUCAACUUGAAUAUCAUGGGCUGAUCAGCUCCUGUUAUUUUAGAUUAUGUGCUUGGCAAAGCCUGAAAAUAAUUGGAGACUAUGUGGAAAAAUAAAAAUAGAAAUUUGAAAGGAAGCAGCACUGGCUUCUGAAGUGCAGCACUGACAAAGGAGCACAUGAGCCAAAUGAUCCCACUGAAAGAAAAAAAAACUACACUCACAUCUGCAAGCGCAGAUCCAGCACAAAAAAAGAAACACAGUGAGAUUUGGGGAAGCAGCCCAGGGCUCCAAAGCUUGCCUGUUUUCCCUGGCUCUACCAGUUGGGCUGCAGAGAGCAGUCAGUGCCUGAACCUCACAGCGUCCAACAGCUCAGAGUGCUCCCACAGAUCCUCCUUUCCAUCAAUGGUUUGUGCACAUCAGCAUUGGUCCCUGCGCUGUGCCACCUCCUCGCCUGGCUCCCACCGGCCCCCCCUUCUGGUUUCCAUCAGCCCCUGAAAGGUCUCAUCCUGUGUGAGCUGCCACGGUGUCAUCAACAGCAUCUCUGGUGUUGGAGUGGGCACAACAGCCCCGCAGCCUGAGCGCUGAGAGGGUUAAUUAAAGGUGCCCGAGACGUUAGAAAGCUGCAAAGUAAUUAUAAAAGGCAGCAGAAAAAAGCCAGCAACCCUAAGCAGACAUGAAGGCCCUCUUAAGAGAAAAAAGGCAUGUUAAUUAACCUCUAGACAUGAUUCAAAGCAUCAUUUGUAGCAUGAUUACCAUAAUCCCCCAAGUGCAAACACACAACUGGCAUCAACCAUCAGUCACAGGGCUGAACGCUCCCCCACCCCUUCAUCACAUCAGCACAUUUGAGCAGGGGAUGGUGUGACACAGGAGACAAAAAGAAUCUCACUGCCCAGAGAUGGACAUCACUGAAUCACAUCCCAGCUGUGAGUUGCUGCCACCCUAUGCACUGCAGGUGGCCAUGCUCCCAGGUGUGCUCUCAGCAUCCCCCCAGGCGUGCCACCAGCUCUGCACUGGAAGCUCCUGAACCCACUGUCAGCUUUGCUUGCUUCACUCCCCAUAGCCGCAGCUUCAAACCCUUCCUGCCAGGCUCUGCCACUCCAUCAAAGGGCUGGUGGUUGCUAUCAAAAGCUCCUAGAUUCUCCUCCGCAUGAGGAUCUUGGCUUUCACUUAAAGGAGCUGCCCGCAGGAUUGCUUAAAAGGAUGGAAAUGGAUGUCACAAGUUCUGAAAGCAAAGAAAAAGAGAGCCACAGAUUCCCCAAAGAAGAAUCUCCUGCUUGAUCUCACAGCCAGAGCUCGCAGCUCUGCUGGGCACCAACAUGCAGGCACUCACACGAGGGAGCCAAUGCCACAGCCUGCCUGAGCCAAACUGCCAGAGAUGUUUUGUUAUACCACACACCACCAAGCAGCCACCACUGGAGGUAUUCUCACCCUCACCGUGCCACAAAGCUGGAGGGGGAGCACUUUUCCCUGCAACAGACAGCACUGCUUGUAGUUCAUCGAUAUUUGUGAGGCAUUAAUAAAAGGCGACAAAGAUGCAUCACCAAAAUCCCCUACAAAUUCCACUCGGUACCACAGCAUUGCUCGCCCCAACCUGGGGUGCUCGGGGCCCUGUGCUCCAUCACUGCCUGGCUGUGAGGCUGUGUGAUGGCUGAGGCUGCAUGGAGCUGAUGCUUAUUCCAAUGAGUCACUGCUGAGCUCCGUCCUUAUCUUGAAAGUUUGUUAUUGCUCGGAAGUGUUUAUCUGAAUGACGUUUGCAAAAACAUCUGAA